AUUCCCAAACUCAGCUUUUCUUCUUUGUAAAGGAUAAUAUUGUGAUAUGAAUUGACAAUAUAAAUGUGUUUUUGUCUGGCAGGGUAUCCUUUGCACAACACAGUCUUACAAAUUUCACAUGCUUACUGCUCAAGAGUAUCUUUUGCACAGGACAAUCUUCUAGCUUCGACAUGCUUGCUGCCCAAGAUAUACUAUGUUCAGACAAUGCUUUCCUGGAAAAGUUGAGCAGUGGGCCAGAAUUUGAACCUUAUAGAAGAGAUUGAAAAUAGUUUCAAGUCAUUGGGGUUUGACAAAAUACUGCAUGCACUACAUAAGUGAUUGAAAAAGUUUUCCAGUCAUUUGUGUUUAAGAAAUAAAUGCAAUACUAGCUAAGUGAUGAUAAAUAAUAUCCAUUAGCUUAUUAUAAUACAAAAUUGCAAUUGGAAGGCUUCUUAGAAUGUACAAUAAAAAAUAUUGGAUGAAAACAAUAUUGUUGUGGUAAGUAGUUGAGGAGCUGAAAUACAAAAAAAAAUAGUUUCGGUAAUAUUUAGUCUAUAUUUUGGAUCAAAAUAAAAGUUUUUGUUUCUUUUUAUUAGAAAAUAUAUUAAGACGUAUGAGCAAUUGUUGAAGAUCAAACCUUUUUAUUCAA